UUGACCUCGGAUCAGGUAGGGUUACCCGCUGAACUUAAGCAUAUCAAUAAGCGGAGGAAAAGAAACCAACAGGGAUUGCCUCAGUAACGGCGAGUGAAGCGGCAACAGCUCAAAUUUGAAAUCUGGUCGCCUGUGUGGCCCGAGUUGUAAUUUGAAGAGGAUGCUUUUGACAAUGUGCCUUCCGAGUUCCCUGGAAUGGGACGCCAUAGAGGGUGAGAGCCCCGUAUGGUAGGUUACUGCGUCUCUGUAAAGCUCCUUCGACGAGUCGAGUAGUUUGGGAAUGCUGCUCAAAAUGGGAGGUAAACCCCUUCUAAAGCUAAAUAUUGGCCAGAGACCGAUAGCGCACAAGUAGAGUGAUCGAAAGAUGAAAAGCACUUUGAAAAGAGAGUUAAACAGCACGUGAAAUUGUUGAAAGGGAAGCGUUUGCGACCAGACUUGUGCUCGUCGAAUCAGCCGUCGCUCGUCGGCGGUGCAUUUCGGCGGGCUCAGGCCAGCAUCAGUUCGCUGUAGGGGGAGAAAGGCGGAAGGAAUGUGGCUCUUCGGAGUGUUAUAGCCUACCGUAUAAUACCCCUCGGUGGACUGAGGACCGCGCAUCUGCAAGGAUG
rnacentral:rRNA from 1 species